rnacentral:rRNA from 1 species
AAAGCGGAGGAAAAGAAACUAACAAGGAUUCCCCUAGUAAUGGCGAAUGAAGAGGGAAAAGCCCAAAUUUGUAAUCUGGCUCUUUCAGAGUCCGAGUUGUAAUUUUAAGAACUGUUUUCAGUGCUGGACCAUGUACAAGUCUGUUGAAAAGCAGCAUCAUAGAAGGUGAUAAUCCUGUUCAUGAUAUGGACUACCAGUGCAAUAUGAUACAGUCUCUAAGAGUCGAGUUGUUUGGGAAUGCAGCUCAAAGUGGGUGGUAAAUUCCAUCUAAGGCUAAAUAUUGAUGAGAGACCGAUAGCAAACAAGUACCGUGAGGGAAAGAUGAAAAGAACUUUGGAAAGAGAGUUAACAGUACGUGAAAUUGUUAAAAGGGAAACAAUUGAAGUUAGACUUGUUAUUAUUAGUUCAACCUUUUCUAAGGGGGUAUUCUAAUGAUUAACAGACCAACAUCAAUUUUUGGGUGUUGGAGAAGGGUUUAAGGAAAUGUAGCAGUUUUUGACUGUGUUAUAGUCCUGAGCUUUGAUACAAUGCUUAAGAUUGAGGAAUGCAGUAAGCCCUUUCUUUUUUUGGGUGGAACAAAUUAUUGUUCUUCUUACUGAGGAUGUUGGUGCAAUAGCUUUAAAUGACCCGUCUUAAC